AGCUUCGACUAAGGUUCGACUCGAGCGUCAGUGAGAGAACGUUGCCGCAGGCAACGGCCCGAAGGGCGAGGCGCUUUAGCGCCGAGUAAUCCUUCCCCCACUACUG
rnacentral:sRNA from 1 species